rnacentral:other from 1 species
GGAUCGCUGCGGGGUGCGUGCAGGUUUCUAUAUCGCAGAGGCCGACAAACAUUCGCAAGGGAACUGCCUCUGUCCGGACCCUUGGUUCGGUUAUGCGGUGCCCACCUGGUAAACCAGGGCCUUCGCGGAUAAGAAAAGCCCACGGCUCGCGCGGCCCCCUC